rnacentral:rRNA from 1 species
CGGCGAACGGGUGAGUAACACGUGGGUAAUCAACCCUCGAUACUGGGAUAGCCCGGGGAAACCCGGAUUAAUACCGGAUGGCCCUUUGGAUCCUCGGAUCUGACGGAAAAGGUAGCUUCGGCCUCCGAUCGAGGACGAGCCCGCGGCGGAUUAGCUUGUUGGUGGGGUAACGGCUCACCAAGGCGACGAUCCGUAGCUGGUCUGAGAGGACGAUCAGCCACACUGGGACUGAGACGCGGCCCAG